AUGAGGGUAGAAGGUGGAAAAUUUGGUACAUUGAUGAAUAUUGUCAUCCCCCGUCCACAACCUAACGGUGAACCCUCUCUAGGACUUGGAAAGGCUUUCGUUGAGAACUACGACACUUCAUGUCUAAGCCAGUGCCUCUACGGUAUCAUCUACCACUAUGUUUCUCAUAAUCGGUGUUAGGUUUACCAAGAAGAGAGUGUGCAGCAAAAACGGAUCAUUUCCAUUUAGCAAUGUAACCCAGACUACCAUACUGGA